UCGUCUCUUGCUUUGGUUCCCAAAAGAGCCAUCGAAUCCACCCUGGUUGAUGAUUGUAUAUCCUCGAUAUCCAAGAGUGAAUAUUUUUGGUCCUCUCGAACCAUCCGGAAGGAUGGUGGUAGAAGCCUCGUGCAUCUGCUGUAUAGAGAGUUGUUUUUUCUCUUGAUGAUCUCGACCCCGUCAAUGGUCUGCCUUCGGGCGCAUUGGCGGGGUGGAUGUCGAUGGACGUCUGACAGGC
rnacentral:snoRNA from 1 species